rnacentral:misc_RNA from 1 species
GAUGAAGAACGUAGUGAAAUGCGAUAAGUAGUGUGAAUUGCAGAAUUCAGUGAAUCAUCGAAUCUUUGAACGCACAUUGCGCCCUUUGGUAUUCCUUAGGGCAUGCCUGUUCGAGCGUCAUUUAAACCUUCAAGCUCAGCUUGGUGUUGGGUGUCUGUCCCGCCCCGGCGGGCCCUAAAGUCAGUGGCGGUGCCGUCCGGCUCCGAGCGUAGUAAUUCUUCUCGCUCUGGAGGUCCGGUCGUGUGCUCGCCAGCAACCCCCAAUUUUUUUCAGGUUGACCUCGGAUCAGGUAGGGAUACCCGCUGAACUUAAGCAUAUCAAUAAGCGGAGGA